AAUGAGGCGAACCGGGGGAACUGAAACAUCUAAGUACCCCGAGGAAAAGAAAUCAACCGAGAUUCCCCCAGUAGCGGCGAGCGAACGGGGAGGAGCCCAGAGCCUGAAUCAGCAUGUGUGUUAGUGGAAGCGUCUGGAAAGGCGCGCGAUACAGGGUGACAGCCCCGUACACAAAAGCGCAUGUGCUGUGAGCUCGAUGAGUAGGGCGGGACACGUGGUAUCCUGUCUGAAUAUGGGGGGACCAUCCUCCAAGGCUAAAUACUCCUGACUGACCGAUAGUGAACCAGUACCGUGAGGGAAAGGCGAAAAGAACCCCGGCGAGGGGAGUGAAAAAGAACCUGAAACCGUGUACGUACAAGCAGUGGGAGCACCCUUUGGGGUGUGACUGCGUACCUUUUGUAUAAUGGGUCAGCGACUUAUAUUCUGUAGCAAGGUUAACCGAAUAGGGGAGCCGGAGGGAAACCGAGUCUUAAUUGGGCGUUAAGUUGCAGGGUAUAGACCCGAAACCCGGUGAUCUAGCCAUGGGCAGGUUGAAGGUUGGGUAACACUAACUGGAGGACCGAACCGACUAAUGUUGAAAAAUUAGCGGAUGACCUGUGGCUGGGGGUGAAAGGCCAAUCAAACCGGGAGAUAGCUGGUUCUCCCCGAAAGCUAUUUAGGUAGCGCCUCGUGAAUUCAUCUCCGGGGGUAGAGCACUGUUUCGGCUAGGGGGCCAUCCCGGCUUACCAACCCGAUGCAAACUGCGAAUACCGGAGAAUGUUAUCACGGGAGACACACGGCGGGUGCUAACGUCCGUCGUGAAGAGGGAAACAACCCAGACCGCCAGCUAAGGUCCCAAAGUCAUGGUUAAGUGGGAAACGAUGUGGGAAGGCCCAGACAGCCAGGAUGUUGGCUUAGAAGCAGCCAUCAUUUAAAGAAAGCGUAAUAGCUCACUGGUCGAGUCGGCCUGCGCGGAAGAUGUAACGGGGCUAAACCAU
rnacentral:rRNA from 1 species